rnacentral:lncRNA from 1 species
AUGGUGAGGGUGACAUCCGUGUCAGACCUAUGGCCAAUGAUGACAAUGAGAGUCCUGACCAAAAGAUGGAAACUGGAUAAGUGCCUGUUGUCUUCCGUGUUUGCAUGCUCUUACCCUGACAACAAGCCAGCCAACAUGAGGGAUUUUCUCUGUCCAAUUCUGAAAAACUCAGUAACAGUUCCAACUCUACGACACUUUGGAAUUACAGAGAAAAGUCACUUCCCAAACUUCGUCAGGCUGAAGGCAUAAGGGGCACCUCCUCCUCUCCACAGCCCAGACGCAUGGGCACAACCAUCAGGGAUCCAGAGCAUUAACAACCCCAAGAGCUGAGCAGGAAACCUCAUGCUGAGAAGCUGAACUGAGGAUCUAGGUCAGCCAACGAAAGGUUAGAGCUGAGCUUUUAUCUCAGGCUUGCAAACGAAGGUUUAAUCUAGA